rnacentral:rRNA from 1 species
UACGGGGGGGGCAAGCGUUGUUCGGAAUUACUGGGCGUAAAGGGCUCGUAGGCGGCCAACUAAGUCAGACGUGAAAUCCCUCGGCUUAACCGGGGAACUGCGUCUGAUACUGGAAGGCUUGAAUCCGGGAGAGGGAUGCGGAAUUCCAGGUGUAGCGGUGAAAUGCGCAGAUAUCAGGAGGAACACCGGUGGCGAAGGCGGAUCUCUGGGCCGAUACUGACGCUGAGGAGCGAAAGCGUGGGGAGCGAACAGG